CGGGGCUUCGGCCCCGCCGGUAGCGUGGCAGACGGGUGAGUAACACGUGGGUAACCUGCCCGAAGGUGGGGGAUAACCCUCCGAAAGGAGGGCUAAUACCGCAUAACAUCCCGGGGUCCUCGGGCCCUGGGAUCAAAGCUGGCCUCUGGUUUCAUGCUAGUGCCUUCGGAGGGGCCCGCGCCCCAUUAGCUAGUUGGUGAGGUAACGGCUCACCAAGGCGACGAUGGGUAGCCGGCCUGAGAGGGCGUCCGGCCACACUGGAACUGAGACACGGUCCAGACUCCUACGGGAGGCAGCAGUGAGGAAUCUUGCGCAAUGGGCGAAAGCCUGACGCAGCGACGCCGCGUGGAGGAUGAAGGCCUUCGGGUCGUAAACUCCUGUCGAGAGGGACGAAAGCCGGGAAGGCGAAUACCCUUCCCGGUUGACGGUACCUCCAGAGGAAGCCCCGGCUAACUCCGUGCCAGCAGCCGCGGUAAUACGGAGGGGGCCAGCGUUGUUCGGAAUUACUGGGCGU
rnacentral:rRNA from 1 species